CCAGCUCCAAUAGCGUAUAUUUAAGUUGUUGCAGUUAAAAAGCUCGUAGUUGGAUUUCGGGUGGGUUCUAGCGGUCCGCCUAUGGUGAGUACUGCUAUGGCCUAUCUUACUGCUGGGGACCUGCUCCUGGGCUUCAUUGUCCGGGACAGGGAGUCAGCAUGGUUACCUUGAGUAAAUUAGAGUGUUCAAAGCAGGCUUACGCCCUGAAUACUUUAGCAUGGAAUAACACGAUAGGACUCUGCUCUAUUGUGUUGGCCUGUAGAUGUGGAGUAAUGAUUAAGAGGGACAGUCGGGGGCAUUCGUAUUUCAUUGUCAGAGGUGAAAUUCUUGGAUUUAUGAAAGACGAACUACUGCGAAAGCAUUUGCCAAGGAUGUUUUCA
rnacentral:rRNA from 1 species